GACGAACGCUGGCGGCGUGCUUAACACAUGCAAGUCGAACGGAAAGGCCCUGCUUUUGUGGGGGGCUCGAGUGGCGAACGGAAGAGUAAAACGACAGUAAACUGACCUUGACCUUGGGAUUACUUAAGGACACUAGGGCUAAUACCAUAUGGGAGAUUCUGCUGCUUGGGGGUGGUUGGAAAGUUUAGGCUGUUGGUGAUGGGGGCGCGGCGUGUCAGGGUGUUGGGGGGGUUGUGGGGUACCUAGGCUUUGACGGGUGGCCGGCCUGAGCGGGUGGCCGGCCACAUUGGGACUGCUAUACGGGCCAGACGCCUACGGGAGUGAACAGUGGGGAAUAGUGCACUAUGGGGGGAAGCCGUAUGCGGCAGCGCCGCGUGCGUGAUGACGGCCUUCGGGUUGUAAACCGCUUUCGCCUGGGUCGUAGCUGGAUUGACGGUAAUGGGUUAAGAAGCACCGGCUAACUACGUG
rnacentral:rRNA from 1 species